rnacentral:lncRNA from 1 species
CAGGGUGGUUAUUAAUGAGUAAGACAGCAAGAAGAGGGAGGAAUAGGCAGCUAACAACAUCCACCUCUGCCUGACCUGCCUGGUGGUGGUGUUUUCAGGCUUGGCCGGAGAGUGUCUUGCAGUGCCCCUGGAGGCAGGGACGUGAGGACCCGUCCUGGCCUAAUGUUCAGUUUCCUCAGCCUCUGAGGCUUGCUGCCACCCGGCUGAUUCUGGUACUCAUGGAGCCUCCUGGGGUGGGGGGAUUGGGCUGCCACUGUCACAUCUUGAAAGCCUGGCCCCCGUGUGAGACUGGAGCAGAAUCUGAAGACAGAGAAGGAGGGCAUGUCUCCUGAAGCAGGCAGACCCAGCCCUAGGACCUCCCACCCCACAUCAGAUGCGCUUUUAAAGCCCAGGAAGCACAAGGUAUCUGCCGGGCAGCCGUUGAGUACCCAGCCCUGAGCCCUUUCCACAUCUGACAACCUCAAGCCUGCAGGACCACAAAUGAGGGGUGGGACAAGCUCUCGAACAGACUCAAAAAAAAAUCUUACAAACUUUGGGCUGCCCAAAGCCUGAGUCCAACCUGCAGAGAGAACUCCUUUGUCUUGGUGAAGUCCUAGUCACCAGCGAGGUGCCUGCAGAGUUCUAAGGCCUGCUCUUGGCAUUAAAGCUAGAUCAGAGGUGCAUGCACAGCCUGCCUCUGUCUGGUACCAUCCACACGCUUGUCAGCCUUGGCACCACUGCCCAUCUCCCGGGAUGUGCUGACCUUAGUCACCCGUGCUCCACUGAAGCCUUCAAGCUGGAAGGAAGGCCCUGGCUGAGCUCAGCAGUCUGCCCGGGCCUGCCCUGCUCCAGCUGUGUCCACUGGGCUCUUAGGGAAGGGCCAGGCCCAUGCCAGAUGAUCUGACUUGCUGGAAAAGGGAAAUUCUCAGCAUUCCUUCUGCAGGAGACAUUUGCCAACUACAAAGCAGUGAGGAACAGCUGGCUAGGGUUCCCUUGAGCAGCCAAAUGCAUCUUCAACCCCAACAGAGUCCAGGAUGGAAAAAGCGGGGUCAACUCUCAGUAACUGAAGUUCGUUGGCGAACAUGCAUCUGCUGUGGAGCAGGGACCCAGGAAAGGGGAGGCAGUGGGAGAGACCAUGGGAAGACACAGGACCACGCCCUGAAAUGCCCUCUCCAUGAACACAGACUUCCAUUUUGGGGAAAAUGUCUUCGUAUUCCCAGAAAUGACCCAAUGGAACAAUCAAAUUAUAUUAUUUUCUCCAUCAAUGCACAGUAACAGUUCCAGAUGGAAAGGGCCAAAAUCCUAUUUUUAACCCCAUCCUGACUCUCACACUCACUGAUGACCGGAAGUGCUCAGAAAGGUCCUUUCCCCAAUUCCUCGCUUGCUUUUCUUACUGGAGAGUGCUCAGUCCACCAGUGUGAACAUCCCAAGCCAGCCUAGACUGUCACAUUUCCCCUGGGGCAUUGCAGGGGUGUCCAGAGGGCUGCCAGGCCCUCUUCCCUCCCCUCCCACAGCCAGUGGGACAAUCUCCUGCCCACGAGCUACUUCCUAACAGACCCUCUUAGAAGCCUGUGCAUUUAGUUAAGCCUUAUAUUAUUGUGGUCUUUUGGCAAAGACAAAUUUUUCUUCUGGUCUCAGCAACCUGUCCACAAAGCCCUGUCUGACCACCUUCCCAACACGAGGCUGAACCAAGCCUCCCUUCCCCCUGAACAUCUCCGUGUGCGUCCGUCUGCUUCUGUAUCCAAGGACUCCACAUUCAAGGAUUCAAGCAAACACAGAUGGAAAAUACAGUGUGCAGAGGAAACUUGUGGCACCUGAACAUCAACAGGCUUUUUUCUCUCCUGAUUAUUUCCUUAACAAUAUAACAGAGCAAUGAUUUGCCUAGUAUUGACGUUGUGUCAGGUAUUACAAGGCAUCUACAGAUGCUUUAAGGCCUACAGAAGGAAUUGUGUGCAUAAAUUCUACACCAUUACCUUACACAUAAGGAACCUGAGCACCUGUGGGUACUGGCAGACAGCGUAAAAGCGGUGUGCUUUUACAACUGCCCGUAUGGCCUCUACCAUCCUCAUUGAGCUGGAGACGUCGCACUUCCCUCUCCCC